rnacentral:rRNA from 1 species
CCGCGUGAAGGAAGACGGCCUUCGGGUGGUAAACUUCUGUUCUUGGUGAAGAGGGAAAGACGGUAACCAAGGAGGAAGCCCCGGCUAACUACGUGCCAGCAGCCGCGGUAAUACGUAGGGGGCGAGCGUUGUCCGGAAUGAUUGGGCGUAAAGGGCGCGUAGGCGGCUACGGAAGUCUGGAGUGGAAGUCCUAUUUUCAAGGUAGGAAUUGCUUUGGAAACUCCGCAGCUUGAGUGCAGGAGAGGUUAUCGGAAUUCCCGGUGUAGCGGUGAAAUGCAUAGAGAUCGGGAGGAACACCAGUGGCGAAGGCGGGUAACUGGACUGCAACUGACGCUGAGGCGCCAAAGUGUGGGGAACCAACAGGAUUAAAUACCCUGGUAGUCCACACUGUAAACGAUGAAUGCUAGGUGUAGGUGGUAUCGACCCCAUCUGUGUCGUCGUAGACACAAUAAGCAUUCCGCCUGGGGAGUACGGUCGCAAGAUUAAAAUCCAAGGAAUUGACGGGGGCCGCACAAGCA